rnacentral:lncRNA from 1 species
GUGCCACAAUACUUAGAUGCUGAUCAACAAAUUUUGUCAUCCCCUGUAAACGGAAAAACGAUGAACAUGAUAAGGUUCAAUAUUGAUCACAACAGUAGAAAGUACAAAUUACUGCUCCUGCCAUUUCAUUUUUUCUUUUGAUAACCUUGGUGUCUGGGUCAGCUUUCGUGCACCUCAAUUAAAUUCACGAGAUACCUAUCAUCUCCUGCCUACAACAGAUAUCAAGCAACUCUGUCCACCAAGGCUAGAACAAAUAGAAAGAAUCACCAACUGUAAUAAGUAAACAGGAAUCACUAGGGUAAAGGACC